rnacentral:lncRNA from 1 species
GUUAUUUUGUUAAUGAUUAUAUUUAUCAAGGACUUGUUCAUAUAUGUGUGAGGUACUUAAGCUGCUAAUGAUUAUGUAAUUCUACCAAGGUUUCAUUAUGUAAGGUAAGUAUAAAUAUAUAAGCAUCUAAUACAGCUUUACUUAUACUUUACUGUUUGAUGUCCCUAUUACUGACAAAUACUCAAGUCUUAUAUGUGUAAG